rnacentral:rRNA from 1 species
CUAUACAUGCAGUCGAACGCACAGCGAAAGGUGCUUGCACCUUUCAAGUGAGUGGCGAACGGGUGAGUAACACGUGGACAACCUGCCUCAAGGCUGGGGAUAACAUUUGGAAACAGAUGCUAAUACCGAAUAAAACUUAGUGUCGCAUGACACAAAGUUAAAAGGCGCUUCGGCGUCACCUAGAGAUGGAUCCGCGGUGCAUUAGUUAGUUGGUGGGGUAAAGGCCUACCAAGACAAUGAUGCAUAGCCGAGUUGAGAGACUGAUCGGCCACAUUGGGACUGAGACACGGCCCAAACUCCUACGGGAGGCUGCAGUAGGGAAUCUUCCACAAUGGGCGAAAGCCUGAUGGAGCAACGCCGCGUGUGUGAUGAAGGCUUUCGGGUCGUAAAGCACUGUUGUAUGGGAAGAACAGCUAGAAUAGGAAAUGAUUUUAGUUUGACGGUACCAUACCAGAAAGGGACGGCUAAAUACGUGCCAGCAGCCGCGGUAAUACGUAUGUCCCGAGCGUUAUCCGGAUUUAUUGGGCGUAAAGCGAGCGCAGACGGUUUAUUAAGUCUGAUGUGAAAGCCCGGAGCUCAACUCCGGAAUGGCAUUGGAAACUGGUUAACUUGAGUGCAGUAGAGGUAAGUGGAACUCCAUGUGUAGCGGUGGAAUGCGUAGAUAUAUGGAAGAACACCAGUGGCGAAGGCGGCUUACUGGACUGCAACUGACGUUGAGGCUCGAAAGUGUGGGUAGCAAACAGGAUUAGAUACCCUGGUAGUCCACACCGUAAACGAUGAACACUAGGUGUUAGGAGGUUUCCGCCUCUUAGUGCCGAAGCUAACGCAUUAAGUGUUCCGCCUGGGGAGUACGACCGCAAGGUUGAAACUCAAAGGAAUUGACGGGGACCCGCACAAGCGGUGGAGCAUGUGGUUUAAUUCGAAGCAACGCGAAGAACCUUACCAGGUCUUGACAUCCUUUGAAGCUUUUAGAGAUAGAAGUGUUCUCUUCGGAGACAAAGUGACAGGUGGUGCAUGGUCGUCGUCAGCUCGUGUCCUGAGAUGUUGGGUUAAGUCCCGCA